GAUGAACGCUGGCGGCGUGCCUAAUACAUGCAAGUCGAGCGAAUGGAUUAAGAGCUUGCUCCUAUGAAGUUAGCGGCGGACGGGUGAGUAACACGUGGGUAACCUGCCCAUAAGACUGGGAUAACUCCGGGAAACCGGGGCUAAUACCGGAUAACAUUUUGAACCGCAUGGUUCGAAAUUGAAAGGCGGCUUCGGCUGUCAAUUAUGGAUGGACCCGCGUCGCAUUAGCUAGUUGGUGAGGUAACGGCUCACCAAGGCAUCGAUGCGUAGCCGACCUGAGAGGGUGAUCGGCCACACUGGGACUGAGACACGGCCCAGACUCCUACGGGAGGCAGCAGUAGGGAAUCUUCCGCAAUGGACGAAAGUCUGACGGAGCAACGCCGCGUGAGUGAUGAAGGCUUUCGGGUCGUAAAACUCUGUUGCUAGGGAAGAACAAGUGCUAGUUGAAUAAGCUGGCACCUUGACGGUACCUAACCAGAAAGCCACGGCUAACUACGUGCCAGCCGCCGCGGUAA
rnacentral:rRNA from 1 species